rnacentral:rRNA from 1 species
CGGACGGGUGAGUAACGCGUGAGAAUCUACCCUUAGGAUGGGGACAACAGUUGGAAACGACUGCUAAUACCCGAUGUGCCGAGAGGUAAAACUUAUAUGGCCUGAGGAAGAGCUCGCGUCUGAUUAGCUAGUUGGUAGUGUAAGAGACUACCAAGGCGACGAUCAGUAGCUGGUCUGAGAGGAUGAUCAGCCACACUGGGACUGAGACACGGCCCAGACUCCUACGGGAGGCAGCAGUGGGGAAUUUUCCGCAAUGGGCGAAAGCCUGACGGAGCAAGACCGCGUGAGGGAGGAAGGCCUACUGGUUGUAAACCCCUUUUGAUAGGGAAGAACACAAUGACGGUACCUAUCGAAUCAGCCUCGGCUAACUCCGUGCCAGCAGCCGCGGUAAUACGGAGGAGGCAAGCGUUAUCCGGAAUUAUUGGGCGUAAAGCGUCCGUAGGUGGUUAUCCAAGUCAGUUGUUAAAGCGUAGAGCUUAACUCUAUAAGGGCAAUUGAAACUGGGUGGCUAGAGUGCGAUAGGGGCAAGGGGAAUUCCCAGUGUAGCGGUGAAAUGCGUAGAUAUUGGGAAGAACAUCGGUGGCGAAGGCGCCUUGCUGGGUCUGCACUGACACUGAGGGACGAAAGCUAGGGGAGCGAAAGGGAUUAGAUACCCCUGUAGUCA